UGCUCUAGGACCUGGCCCAAAGCCCACUGAGGCCAGUGUGAUCAGGCCCACCACUCAUCAUUAGUUGACUGACUUCUUGCAUGUAUCACAGCAAAGGUGGGUCUUGAGAGAGGAUCUGAAGCAGGCUGUAGCAUUGUGGACUCAGUUGGGAGGGGGCAGCACAAGAAAGUGUGGAGACAGGUACGGGAGAAGUGAAUAAUCAGAUGGUCAAAGUUGGCCUCUGACACAGAAAAUCGUACUAUCACAAUCUGAUUCCAGAUGGCCUUAAUCCUGAGCAGAUGCCAUGAAUGCACCUUAAUUCUGGCAUUUCCUAACUUCUGAGUGCUGGACUUUGCUACCUUAAUGUUCGUAUAAUGUAGUUUUGUGUAUGUAUAUUAGACAUACACACAUGAAAGUUGCAAAGUCAAGGAUUCGAAAGCUAGGAAAUGCCAGAACCAAUGGUGCUGUGGUGCGUAUGCAUCAUGGAACCAUCUUUAAUUGAAUGAUCACAUAAUAUGUUGAUCAUGGAAGGGCUAGAGCAUGGAAGGGCUAGCAGCAUAUUUCAAUAUGGGCAAAACUAAAUAUUUUCCUUUAGCCUUGAUCUAGGAAACGGCUGAAGCACUUUGGCUGUACUUUUCAAAAAAAUAUUCAGCCUGAGAUAGACACCCAGCAAGGAAUAUCUCAUCCUAAAUGGCUAGAGUCUAGCCAAGUUAUAAGCAAUUGAAAAUAGGGACUUAUACUGGGACGUACCAGGCAACCUUAAUAAUAGGUGGUGCUACCUGCUCUGCCCAUAAUAAAAUGAGACUUUUUACUUCUGUGAUGUGAACUCUUUGCGUACGUCUCCAAAACUGAACUGCUUUUACUGCAGCCAUAUAACAAUGCACUCAUAUGUAAUGUCCUGUCCGCUGCCACCCUUACAGUACACCUCAGGUUCCUACGUCUUGCUAGGUAUGAGUAUUUUGGAUUAUUUACCAAAACCAUCAGCUUGCAUUUUCCAGGCUGAAUCUCAGUUUAAUUCUGCCUGUUUCUAUUCUCUCCAAGUCCCUUUGGCAUUCCAGUUACAGCCCAAUGUACAUGGGUAACCCACCCACAAGAUGGGGAGGAAACAAGAGACUUUAAAAAAAAAAAAAAAAAGAAAACAAUUGAUAGCAUUAUAUUUUCAAGAAUGCUUGUUAAAUAAAGCUUGUCCUGCAUGCAAAAGGUUAACUCUUUUAUUACAUAAUUUAAAAAGAGUCAGGCUGAACAGCUAAUUCCCAUGAAGCAGAACUGGCAAAGAAUAAAUAAUCUCAGCAUAACAAAGGGUAGCGGUUUUUCGUUUGGAGAUCUCAUUAUGACAAAACGCUAAGUCUGUCUAGUAUUACUUUGUCCUCACAGUUUAGUCAAAUGCUUCAACAAAUGUCUCACACAAACCCUGGCUACUGAAGUGAGCAGGCACUCUUAAAUGAAGGAUGGAUAACAUUUUUGUAACUGACCAGAUGAAACAGAACCUUUAGAGAUGAAACUUGCAUUUAUUUAGAGAGGAUGUGUAGUUUUCUGGCUCAACCUUAUAUUUCCAGUGCACGUUUACUGUCUGCUGACAUCUAAGUUUGAAAA